rnacentral:rRNA from 1 species
AUUGAACGCUGGCGGCAGGCCUAACACAUGCAAGUCGAACGAGUGGCGGACGGGUGAGUAAUGUCUGGGAAUCUGCCCGAUAGAGGGGGAUAACUACUGGAAACGGUUGCUAAUACCGCAUACUAUCGGAUGUGCCCAUAUGGGAUUAGCUAGUAGGUGGGGUAACGGCUCACCUAGGCGACGAUCCCUAGCUGGUCUGAGAGGAUGACCAGCCACACUGGGACUGAGACACGGUCCAGACUCCUACGGGAGGCAGCAGUGGGGAAUAUUGCACAAUGGGCGCAAGCCUGAUGCAGCCAUGCCGCGUGUAUGAAGAAGGCCUUAGGGUUGUAAAGUACUUUCAGCGGGGAGGCGUUACCCGCAGAAGAAGCACCGGCUAACUCCGUGCCAGCAGCCGCGGUAAUAC